GGGAAACUGAAUUCAGGCAAAUCAACUAAAAUUUCGACAUCAAAACACCAAAAUUUCUUGUCAACACCAUAAAGGGUUCAAAAUGAAGUCAAAGGGGGCAACACAAUAUCUAGAAUGAACAAAACUUUAGAUAUUCGACAGGAUAAGAAAAUGGUAAAGGAACAUAAUAGUUCUACGAAUUCUCGAGUAUCUUCUAAUCAAUCUAGGGGGAAGGGGACACAUUAACUCUUCCAUCUUCAAAGGUCUUGGACGCUCAAACCUGGAGGAAG
rnacentral:misc_RNA from 1 species